GACGAACGCUGGCGGCGUGCCUAAUACAUGCAAGUCGAGCGAGCUUGCCUAGAUGAAUUUGGUGCUUGCACCAGAUGAAACUAGAUACAAGCGAGCGGCGGACGGGUGAGUAACACGUGGGUAACCUGCCCAAGAGACUGGGAUAACACCUGGAAACAGAUGCUAAUACCGGAUAACAACACUAGACGCAUGUCUAGAGUUUAAAAGAUGGUUCUGCUAUCACUCUUGGAUGGACCUGCGGUGCAUUAGCUAGUUGGUAAGGCAACGGCUUACCAAGGCAAAUGGUGGUACGCCGAGUUGGGGAGUUGAUCGGCCCACUGGGGCGUGAGAACCGCCCAAACCCCCUCGGGGAGGCAGAGGUGGGGAAUUUUCCCAAAUGGACGAAAUUCUGAGGGAGCAACGGCGGGGGAGGGAAAAAGGUUUUGGGCCUGGAAAGUUUUGUUGGUAGGGAAAAAAGAUAGGGGUAGUAACUGGCCUUUUUUGGACGGUAAUUACGUAGAAAAUCCCGGCAAACUACGU
rnacentral:rRNA from 1 species